rnacentral:rRNA from 1 species
AAUACGUUCCCGGGCCUUGUACACACCGCCCGUCAAGUCACGAAAGUCGGUAACACCCGAAGCCGGUGGCCCAACCCUUGUGGGGGGAGCCGUCGAAGGUGGGACUGGCGAUUGGGGCU